AGAGCUUGCUUUUCUUGAUUAGUGGCGCACGGGUGAGUAAUGCAUAGAUAAUGUGCCCCUUAGUUCGGGAUAGCCACUGGAAACGGUGAUUAAUACCGGAUACUCCUUCUUGUUAUAAGACAAGUCGGGAAAGUUUUUCGCUAAGGGAUCAGUCUAUGUUCCAUCAGCUUGUUGGUGAGGUAAUGGCUCACCAAGGCUAUGACGGAUAUCUGGUUUGAGAGGAUGAUCAGACACACUGGAACUGAGACACGGUCCAGACUCCUACGGGAGGCAGCAGUGAGGAAUAUUGCACAAUGGAGGAAACUCUGAUGCAGCAACGCCGCGUGGAGGAUGACGCAUUUCGGUGUGUAAACUCCUUUUAUUAGGGAAGAUAAUGACGGUACCUAAUGAAUAAGCACCGGCUAACUCCGUGCCAGCAGCCGCGGUAAUACGGAGGGUGCAAGCGUUACUCGGAAUCACUGGGCGUAAAGGGUGCGUAGGCUGGCUUUUAAGUCAGAUGUGAAAUCCAAUGGCUCAACCAUUGAACUGCGUUUGAAACUGAAAGCCUAGAGUUCAGAAGGGGCAGAUGGAAUUAGUGGUGUAGGGGUAAAAUCCGUAGAUAUCACUAGGAAUAUCAAAAGCGAAGGCGAUCUGCUGGGAUGAUACUGACG
rnacentral:rRNA from 1 species